UAUUCUGCCCCACGGGGAAGGAUGAGAAGCUUCGACUAAGGUUCGACUCGAGCGAAGUGAGAGAACGUUGCCGCAGGCAACGGCCCGAAGGCGAGGCGCUUUAGCGCCGAGUAAUCCUUCCCCCACCACCA
rnacentral:sRNA from 1 species